CGCCAGGAAGCUAAACAUAGGCACAGCGUUAACCUUUUAAGUUAAAGAUUGGUGUCUCCUGACCACCCCUAGCGA
rnacentral:tRNA from 1 species